rnacentral:rRNA from 1 species
UGGAUCUUAGUGGCGAACGGGUGAGUAACGCGUAGGCAAUCUGCCUUCUAGAUGGGGACAACAUCCCGAAAGGGGUGCUAAUACCGAAUGUUGUAAUUGGUUCGCAUGGACUAGCUACUAAAGGUGGCCUCUGAAUAUGCUACCGCUAGAAGAUGAGCCUGCGUCUGAUUAGCUAGUUGGAGGGGUAACGGCCCACCAAGGCUUCGAUCAGUAGCCGGUCUGAGAGGAUGAACGGCCACACUGGGACUGAGACACGGCCCAGACUCCUACGGGAGGCAGCAGUGGGGAAUAUUGCGCAAUGGGGGCAACCCUGACGCAGCAAUACCGCGUGAGUGAAGAAGGUUUUCGGAUCGUAAAGCUCUGUUAUUGGGGAAGAAAAAAGACGGUACCCAAGAAGAAAGUCCCGGCUAACUACGUGCCAGCAGCCGCGGUAAUACGUA